GGGCACAAGCCACCAACACUGACCCAAUCCGAAUAUACAGCCCGAAAAGCAACUAUUUUUUUCCGUGUUCUUCUCUCCUCUUCCGCUCCCCACCGAAAGCAUAAACAGCACACCGGCAACGGGAAAGGAAGGGAUACCGACGCGAGCACGCGCCGAGCAACGUCUCGAAAAGGCCAUGCAGGACGGCGGCGAGGUGCUGUUCCUGGACGGCGUCGGGGAGGUCGCCGUCACCAUCGGCCGCAACGGCCUCUCUGCACGGCCCCUCCACCCGGAACUGAUCUCUUCAUGUUGGUCGUCCAUUACACUGCAGCCUAAAUUAGACAGCAAAAUCAACUUUUCAGAUGUUUAUGCCAUAGAGAUGCUUGAUAAGGGUCGUAUCUGUGGGCCUUGGAAUACAAAGACUGCUAUUCAAGGCAAGAAAAAUAUUGAGAUGCACCGGUUUGUCGUACAUGGGAUUACCAGAAGAAGGAAACACCCUUCUCCGUGGGUACCUUGUGAAUAUAUUUUUGGUCACAAAGACUUGAAGAUCUGCAAAGAUUGGUUUCAGCAUCUCAUUUCGUGCAUAAACAAUGAAAGUGGUAGACCAAAGAACUUAAUGGUAUUUGUUCAUCCAUUGUGUGGAAAAGGUAGAGGGGUCAGUAACUGGGAAACAGUGUAUCCGUUAUUUGCUAGAGCAAAGAUAAAAACAAAGGUGAUAGUGACAGAGAGAGCAGGGCAUGCAUAUGACACACUAUCAUCAUUAUCAGAUAUAGAACUGAAGGCAUUUGAUGGUGUUGUUGCAGUGGGUGGCGACGGUCUAUUUAAUGAAAUUCUGAAUGGGAUACUUAGUUCUAGGCACAAGGUUUCAUAUCCCCCAACUCCUGAGGGGUUUGGAUAUGUUGGAAGCAGUGAUAACUGUGAAGAACAGACAAGAAAUUGGGUUAACUUUAGUAAACCCACACCAGAUUCUGGGAAUGCCGUGUUUCUAGGGAAUCCAAGUAAAUGUGAUGACCAAGAACCUCUUCUUUCAACUUCACAUCCUACCGAGCUAGAGAUACCAUCAAAUUCUACUAAAGAACCAUGUAUUGGAGAUCAGGAUAACCCAGUUUCCUUCCCAAAUGACUGGUUUAGGCUUGGCAUAAUUCCUUCUGGCUCAACUGAUGCUAUUGUUCUCAGCACAACUGGGGAGAGAGAUCCUGUCACCUCUGCUCUGCUUAUUAUUCUUGGCAGAAAGGUGUCACUUGAUAUAGCUCAAGUCGUUAGAUGGAAAACUAGCCCAACAGCUGAGGUUUUGCCUACUGUACGCUAUGCUGCUUCAUUUGCAGGUUAUGGCUUUUAUGGAGAAGUUAUCAGGGAGAGCGAAAAGUACCGGUGGAUGGGUCCUGCACGUUAUGACUUUUCUGGAACAAUGGUCUUUCUGAAGCACAGGUCAUAUGGGGCAAAGGUUGCUUUUCUCGAUACUCCAUACACUCAUUCGCUUACAGCAUCAGCACAGGAUGAUAUAACUGGAGCACAACCACUACAAUCUCGUUGGAAGAAACCUCGCAAAAUAAUCUGCAGAACAAAUUGCUUUGUAUGCAAAGAGGCUUCAACAUCUGGACAAAAUCCAGAAGAUGUUGCAGACAACUCCAGAACAAUAUGCGAGAACCAGAAGUGGGUCUGGUCCGAAGGACAUUUCCUCAGCGUCGGUGCAGCUGUCAUUUCAUGUCGUAACGAAAGAGCCCCUGAUGGCCUGGUAGCUGACGCACACCUUUCGGAUGGUUUUCUUCAUCUCUUGCUCAUAAGAGACUGCCCUCUUCCCCUUUACUUGUGGUGAGCGAAAUGUUGCUCUCUUGCUGAGCUCAUGAUCCAAUCUCUUCUGACUCCAGGCAUCUAACACAAUUUACCAAGAAGGGUUCAGAUCCCCUGUCCUUCAAGUUCGUUGAGCAUCACAAGACACAAGCGUUUACCUUUAUCUCAUCACAUGACGAAAGUGUUUGGAACUUGGAUGGAGAGAUGUUUCAGGCAUGUGAGGUAUCUGUCCAAGCGUGCCGGGGGCUUGUCAACUUCUUUGCUUCGGGGCCAGAGCUGUAGUAAUGAUACUCGUAAGUUCCUCUUUGCAUGAACGAAGGAUGCCAGGAGUUCAUAUUUUUUAUUUAGAGAGUCCCUUAUUUCGACAUGUUGACAUGUUGACAUGUUGUGAUGUUGUACACUCUUAUUUGUAUUUUAGUGGAGACCUAGAACACUUUGUUGAUAGAUAUACUGUUAAUAUUUGUUGAUAGCUAUGUGGCAUGGAAACUACAACCCAUUUGUGCUAUAGAAUAGAGGAACAAAAGGUUUUGAUUGAAUUAAUGAAGUAAAAGUUUACUUUC